UACGGAGGAUGCGAGCGUUAUCCGGAUUUAUUGGGUUUAAAGGGUGCGCAGGCGGCACGGCAAGCCGGCGGUCAAAUCGCGGGGCUCAACUCCGCCCAGCCGUCGGAACUGCCGGGCUAGAGUGGACGAGAAGUGCGCGGAAUGCGUGGUGUAGCGGUGAAAUGCAUAGAUAUCACGCAGAGCUCCGAUUGCGAAGGCAGCGCACCGGCGCCCUACUGACGCUCAGGCACGAAAGCGUGGGUAUCGAACAGG
rnacentral:rRNA from 1 species